ensembl:misc_RNA Y_RNA Y RNA
GGCUGCUCUGACGGCAGUGAGUUAUCUCAACUGAUUGUUCACAGUCAGUUACAGAUCGAAAUCUUUGUUCUACUCUCUCCCCCUUUUCACUACUGUACUUGAAAAGCCUUAA